rnacentral:rRNA from 1 species
GACGAACGCUGGCGGCGUGCUUAACACAUGCAAGUCGAACGGAAAGGCCUCUUUCGGGGGGUACUCGAGUGGCGAACGGGUGAGUAACACGCGAGUAACCUGCCCUUGACUUUGGGAUAACUUCUGGAAACUGGGGCUAAUACCGGAUAGGAGCUCCUGCUGCAUGGGGGGGGUUGGAGAGUUUCGGCGGUUGGGGAUGGACUCGCGGCUUAUCAGCUUUUUGGUGGGGGAGUGGCUUACCAAGGCUUUGUCGGGUAGCCGGCCUGGGAGGGGGACCGGCCACAUUGGGACUGGGAUACGGCCCAGACUCCUACGGGAGGCAGCAGUGGGGAAUAUUGCACAAUGGGUGGGAGCCUGAUGCAGCAACGCCGUGUGCGGGAUGACGGCCUUCGGGUUGUAAACCGCUUUCGCUCAUGACGAAGCUUUGUGUGACGGUAGUGGGUAAAGAAGCACCGGCUAACUACGUG